GUCACUGCAAUACCGCCCUUUACACACAUCUGAUCUCCUCGGAUUUCAGAAGGAAAGCAGGAUCAGGCCUGGUCCGCUCCGGAAUGAGAGACCACCAGGGAAUACGCAGAGCUGCAGGUGGUA
rnacentral:rRNA from 1 species